ACACCGAUGGUGAAACAGCUAUCAUGUUUGCCUUCCGUCUCGGGAAACUUAUAUUUCGAGCAGGCGGUAAGGGUUCGACUCCCCUUUGGUGUA